GUUAUAAAACAGUGCUAAUGUUUUCAUGAAGGGGAGUAAGACUUGUGGUAUAAUAUAUCUUAAAUACAAGUAAGCAUUACAGCUUGUCUGUGCAGAUUGAUGUUGGAAAUUGCUAUAUGAAAUGACUUUUAAAAAUAUUAAUUACUGUGGCUGAAGGAUAUAAAUGUGUGAUUACUCUACAUACUCCUAAAUUAGAGAUGUUGUGAAGAUUCUUAACAUGUUGACUGCUGGGCGCUCUCUCUUCAGAAGACAUAAGAUUUAAAAUCCCCAUUCUGACAGGACAUGACUGCCAAUCUGUAUAUCCUGCCUGAGUAUCCUGCACUACCAAACAGAUGCCUUACUUUUACAUGUAUUUUACUGCAAGUCUGAAGAAGACCAAGAGUGACCAUAUUUCCUUUUGUGUCUUUCUAACUCUACCAAACAGUUUCCAUUAUGAACAGUUCAUAUAAAUCUUGCAUACUUCUUCUUGUAUCAUAUACAUGUUUUUUGAUGGAUUAAACUGUAAAACUAUUGUAAUUUUAGCACUACCAGAGUAAUUAUAAAUGAACUGUUUUACAAAUAGAGAGUGAGUGAAGGUAUGACAGUAAACUGGAUUAAGAAUGUUAAAUAAAAUAUGUUUUUGCAAAUUUGGACGACAAUUAAUUGCAAUUAUGUACCGUUUCAUCAAUAGAAGUAGUAUAUACUUGCAAAUCCAUACCAUUACAUCACAGGAAGUAGUAUGGUUGUCUGAGCGAAGCCAAUUGGAAGUACGUACCUCUUAGUGAAGCUAAUUGGGAGCACACCCUCUGUCUUGUUGCGAAGCUGAUUGGAAGCAGUACAUAUAUACCUCUGUCUGCUAAAGCUAUUUAGAAGCAGUACCCCUGGCAGAGAGGUCCCAAUUAGAAGUAUGUAACUCUGAGGGAAGCCAAUUGGAAGCAUGUACCUCUGCAAAAUUUGAUUAAAAAGUUAUUCAACAAAUUUUAUUUAACAUUCUUUUUAAAGUUUACUUAUCACUUCACCAUUUAGUAGACCAUUCUAAUAAAUUACUACAACACACGAUCAAGUAUUGUUAUAAGGGUAAAAUACUUUAUAAAUUUUAGUUUAUGCACCUUUAAAUGAUAACUUAUCUUACUGUAACUUUUUGAAAGCUAAGGUUCCUCAAGAUCUAUAGGGAGAAUGAUAUAAGUUUGCUGUGAAGGGCAUAUGAUACAGUAACAGGGGAGGUAAUGACAUUGCUACUGUCUAAUGUUACUUUUAGCCAUGUCAAAUAGUUACAUAUCAAUAAAUGACCCAUUUUUUGACUUGACAAAAAUAGGAUUUUUAUUUUCAGUCUUUGGGUCAUGUAUAAAAAAAUGGAUUUUCAGAAAGUUGGCUUCUGAGGCUUGAACUUCUUUUCUUUACACUUUUGAACCCCAACCAAAAAGAUACACUAGUUUUCUCUGCCAAUUAAAAGUGUUGUGUUUAUGUAUUUUGUAGCAUGAUGCCUUAUAAUUAAAUUUUGCUUGUGUUUCAUAGAAUUCUGGUUGGAAAUAUUUUGAAAACCUAGCUUCACUCUACCCAGAGUGUCAAGUUUCUUUUUAUAUACUCUAACUUUUACAUGAUCAUGUAUUUUGUUUUGAAUAGUUCUCCUUUAUUAUAGUGUCCAAAGUAUAACUCUUGAGACAGUUCUUCCAAGCAAAUAGUUACAAAACAUUUUUCCACUACAUAUUGAUUUUAUCUGGUUUUAAAUACUUCAUUAAUUAUCAUUAUAAUGAUUUUCUUUAUGUGUAUAUGUUUAUACUUAUGAGUUGUUGUAUUCAUGUAUAUUGUGUGUAUAAUAAUUCCCUAGUCAUAAAAGUAUAUCAGGAAUUGAUUGUCUUCUUGUGUAUGUGUUAUACAUGUUCAUGUAGGCAUAGGAAUUUAAGCACCAAAAUAUUUUAGUUGUAAAGUGACAUCUUUAUGUAUUUUAUUUCUAACUUGAACUUUGAACAUUGUAUUUUUAGGGAUGUUUUUACUUACAUAUUUACAAACAAAACAAAACAAUAUUCGUCCGAGUAUGUCUCGUGAGACGACUUGUCGCAUUGGGUCGGAGCAUAUAUGACUAUUUAUGCACCGAUGGGUCGGACCCAGGUUUCCAGUUUCCCAUUAUUGGGUUUGUUUGGUUGUUCCUGGCCGGCGAGGUCGUUGAUGAUCGAGUUAUUCAUUUGUUCAGUUAUUUAGUUUACAUUCAUGUCAACCAUACUAUAUCUCUUGUUAGUAACAAGGUCUACUUUACUAGCUAAGUCGUACCUAAUAGUAUAUUUCAAGGUUUUUGUUAUUGGGAAUAAUUGUGGUUAUUGUUUUUUUCAUAUAUUUAUAUAUUAAGACACAUGUAUAUAAUUAUUUAAUAAAUUCCGUUGUCCACUAUGCUUGCUGGGCUAUCAGCAACACUAUAUAUAGCGUAUAUGGUAUACAUAUAGUUAGUCAAAUGCAAAAGGUUGACAUGACAUUAUUUCUUUAGUACUGGUACAAGUCAUUGAAAUCAUAUUGUAUAAUGUAUGUUUAUAUUGAUAAUUUGUCUUAUUAAAUGGCAGCUCACAAUAUGCUGUACUUGAGCUAGUCAACAAACAUAA